ensembl:lncRNA
GCUGCUUCUUCAUUCGCUGGGCACUCAUGCUGUUCGCAGUCUGGCUGGCAGUCAGUUCUCUGCAUUUAAAAACCAACUUUGGCUGCUAGAAAUGCUGUAUUUUCUCUUUGUAGCUAACCUUUGAAGGUCCCGCUGGUUUUUCCAUUCCAGCUGUUUUUGGACUUUGCCUUGGAGCAACUUUAACGGAGUCGUCUUUCCUUUUCCCGAACAAGCGUGCAAUUGCAGCAAGGUUGGUAGAUGCAUCCCAAACAUGCGUCUACCAUUGCCUUCUCACUCCUUACCAAUUUCCAAGUGGUUCACUCUUUGGCGUUACACAACCUUCAGGAGGUUCGUUUCAGCUGCAUCGUGCACAAAUACCGCAGCGAUGAUCAUCAGACUCGGCAGACUGACUCCUGGAUACUUCCGUCUCCUGCAGAGGCAGGUAGCAGGUGAGGUUCAGGCCCCAGUUCCCGACCGCUCCGUCAACCAGAUCGCCAUGUUGCUGGCCAUCAUGGGCCUCAGCCUGUCCUACUACAGUGCCAAACAGAUGAUGGAGAAGGUUCGCCACGAACCCGCUCCAUGAAGAUGUGCAUAUGUGCUCCGGAUCGACGGCAUCUGGAGAAGACUAAGCCAAACUGAAGAUGUUCAGACUUUGUCAAAAUACCUUUCUAUAACCUCCAGGGAUCACACACACCGCAGGACAUCCGCUUAGGGGUUCUCUUGCUUUAGUUUAGCUCUCAAUGGGAUCUGGAAGGGGUUGUGGCCUGAGUUUUGAUAGUUGACUUGAUGCAUGCAUCAGAGAGCCAGUCAAUAGGUUGCUGCAGGUUCAAAACUCAAGCUCAACCAAUGCAUGAGCAAAUCUAGAGCUCAACUCUAAUGUCUUUUAAAGGGAAGGACCUCUGUAUUUGAGAUGUACCAAGCAACUAUUGAAAGCAGGUCCAGUGCACAAGGGUGAAACGCUCCGAUUUCCCCCCAAAAGAUGCUUUUGAAGAACGUCAAAGCCUUGAGGACUAAUAGUGGAGGUGCUGCUCUACAAUACUACACUUGGUGUCAGACACUUUAGGAAAUUUACUACACAAAGACCGUUUGAGGACCUUAUGUUAAAGUGACUUGAUCUUUUCAUUAUAACUUAAGUAAAUAUCCUCAUUUGUCCUGACAAAUUUCUCAACUCUUUAGAUGUUAAUGCCGACUUUGUGUGCAAUUGCAUGAGUUUGAAGCUGUUUGUUUUAGUGAAACCAAUCCAUAAUGUUGUUUCUAAUACUUUUUUAUGAUCAUGUGAUUAUAUGAUGAUGCUGAAUGUACUAUGUUAUAUUUUUAAGACAAUCAAAUAAAGCUGUGAAUAUUUUGAACACGAUCAAGUAAUGGAAAGCAAGUCAUGACUCCAGAAGAUUUAGAAGAACAUUGUGAAGUUCGUCUGACUCAUCGCUGUUGAUAAAAUGUGAUUCCCGCUGAGUCAAGUUUUACACAAACCAUAUGAGAGGUUUUCCUGUCGGCAGAAGUGUGCUGUUGAACAGGAAGUGGGCACAGCCUCAGGCAACGGCUUCCUCGAUCUGCACGUGAUAUUUGUCUACCAGCCUUCUGCAGCUGGCUUUAUGUCUGUAGGAAAUUUACUACACCAAGAGCGUUUGAGGACCUUAUGUUAAAGUGACUUGAUCUUUUCAUUAUAACUUAAGUAAAUAUCUUCUCAUUUGUCCUGACAAAUUUCUCAACUCUUUAGAUGUUAAUGCCGACUUUGUGUGCAAUUGCAUGAGUUUGAAGCUGUUUGUUUUAGUGAAACCAAUCCAUAAUGUUGUUUCUAAUACUUUUUUAUGAUCAUGUGAUUAUAUGAUGAUGCUGAAUGUACUAUGUUAUAUUUUUAAGACAAUCAAAUAAAGCUGUGAAUAUUUUGAACACGAUCAAGUAAUGGAAAGCAAGUCAUGACUCCAGAAGAUUUAGAAGAACAUUGUGAAGUUCGUCUGACUCAUCGCUGUUGAUAAAAUGUGAUUCCCGCUGAGUCAAGUUUUACACAAACCAUAUGAGAGGUUUUCCUGUCGGCAGAAGUGUGCUGUUGAACAGGAAGUGGGCACAGCCUCAGGCAACGGCUUCCUCGAUCUGCACGUGAUAUUUGUCUACCAGCCUUCUGCAGCUGGCUUUAUGUCUGACCCACUUACCAAAUUCAGUAGACAUCAAUUAAACAUUUGCACGCCAAGUAACUUGAGGUUAUAUUACAUUGCAUUCUCAAUGCUUCCAAAAGGGUUGUGUUUUUUUUUUUUUUUUUUUUUAAGAGAGUGUUGCUAAAUAAGUUAAAUUGACCAUGUUUUGUUCUGGUAAUUUUGACUUGGAGAGGGUUUUCUUUUCCCCUGAAAAUGCUAGAAAAUGUUAUCGCAUUACACUAAAAUAUACUGACUUACCCAAAAAUUUAUUAUUAUUUUUUUAUUAUUUUUUUUUCCCUUCCUUUUUACACUUGUGGUGUUCCCAG